GGUUUCGCUCACAGAAUGGAAGAUGGGCAAGGGAAAUGAAGGGUAAAGGGGAGGAACCGAAGCAGUUACCUUCUGAAAGUGAAAGGUGAAGAUAAUGUUUUGAUUGUUCCACGAUAGGAUCCGUUCAAGAAAGGAUUAUAUAUCAAUCUUCAUCCACGACAUCGAGCACUAUAGAAGAGAUGAACUGGUGCAAUCUUGUUAACAAAAGCAUCCGAAACAGAAUUUAAAGAAAUAUUUCUAGGAUAAAAAAAAAAGGUAUCCCCAUCUGCUCUUAAUCUAGCUAGUAAUACCCGAAAGCACUCAAACCUUGUAAUUCAAGCAGGGGGGAGAAAGUCUUCUUGUUUUCUCAUUAACCCAUUUCACAUUUCCUUGUUCCUGAAAUGGGUUGGAUUGGCUUCGUUCAACUCGUAAAACAACAAAAUCCUUAUUGUUCGUUUGCAGGGAGACUCCCCAAGUUCACGUCAUAAAUGGUAAGUUUUCCAACGCCAAAGGCACUACAAGCUCGAAGCUCGCAGAUAAUCUGCAGUACUGCAGUGGAAGUGUUCCAUGUGAAAAUAUUGAGCUCGACAACAUCAACGACUGAAUUCACAUUGAUGAUGGAGAACCUACAACUUCCUCCUGUUCUAUCAUCCACAGCAUCACUCCUGGCCAAAUGAAUCUUGCCUCUUGCGAAGCUUGAUCUUAUUUACUAACCACAUUAUGCUAACUAACAGUAACAAUACCAAAUAAGUCUCAAAAUAAAGCACAGUCACUUCAUGCUGGAUGAAUUUGUUUUUUUGGUUUUAAGUGUUCGCAUGGAUAGAAGGUUUUAAUCAAAA